CUCCCCCUGUUUAUCAAAAACAUGGCCUUUUGAGAAUAUAUAAUAUAAAAGGUUGGACCUGCCCAGUGGUUUAUCUAAACGGCUGCAAUGAAUAAUUGUACAAAGGUAGCGAAAUCAGUUGUCCUUUAAAUGGGGAAAGGUAUGAAAGGUUUGACGAUAAAGAAGCUGUCUCUUAAAAAUAGUGUGAAGUUUCCGUUUAAGUGAAAAGGCUUAAAUUUUUGAAAAAGACGAGAAGACCCUAUUGAGCUUGAUUAUAUUUUUUUUAUUAAAAAAGUUGAAGUUUUAUUGGGGCAAUAAGAAGCUAUAAGGAACGCUUCUUUUUAAAAUAAAGAUCCUCCAUGGGAGAAGUAAGCAAAAGUUACCAUAGGGAUAACAGCGUUAUCUUUCUUAAGAGUUCUAAUUGAGGGAAAGGUUUGCGACCUCGAUGUUGGAUUAAGAUGUCUUUUUGGUGCAGCAGCUAAAAAAGUAAGACUGUUCGUCUUUUAAAAUUUUACGUGAUCUGAGUUCAGACCG
rnacentral:rRNA from 1 species